UGAUACAAAUAGUCACCCCCGCCAAGCCAACCCCAGCGCAGGCUGAAUUAAUGUGUUGCUAUUUUUGGGAGCCCCGUGUUUCCAGGGGAGACCUAAUGACGCAAUGACGUCAAUGCGGGUCAAUCGCAGACUGGAGGAAUUGAGUGGCUUCCAUUUGGGGCUUUUGCAGUAUUUCCUACAGAAAGGAUGGAAACGAGUACAAAAUGGAAGUGUAUUUCCUCCAAAAUGCAUCGAAAAUAGAGGUGAAUCAAAAUGCAGAAGUGAAAAUGAUCACAGUGGCACCACGUCGCCCCAACCCUUCGAGCAUCAGCGAUAGUAAGGGAGGGCUUUACACAAUCCCGACCUAUUCCAAGCGCUUGCAUCUAGACGCACAGAGAUGCUGGACCAACUGCGUAUGAUCAUCGGCCAUGAUAUCAGCUGAGAAGUCUUGCUUUUUUCAGGUCUUUUUGCGGUCUGGGCUUGCUGUCACAUGACUAUCCAGGAAGCCCUUACCCCAAAAAGCAUCUGCAAGGGGCCCUAACAUCAAGGAAGAUUUGCAUAUAAUUGCGUUUUGACACCCAGAGCUCAAUUUAUAUAUUGUGAAGGCUUAAUUUAUCAAUUGUUACUUCAGUUAAGUGUGACUAUACACAUUUGUGAAAUAGCGUAUUUGACUUUCCUUUUCCUUUUGUGGUUUAAACUGUGAAAAUUAAAGUAAUCAUACCUCUCGUAGACUGGUUUGAAGAGAUGUAAAUCAUUCCCUGAUUUAGUUGGUUUCACUUAAAACCAGCAGGUUUCUGUUACUGGGUAUAAGAACUGGGACCCAUUAGUCCAAUUCUAAAUGUGUCCGAAGCAACACAUAAUUCCUCCAGAGGGUGGCAGUGUGGCUCUGAGAAGCUUCUGUCUCUUAGCUACUUCUUUAGCAGCUCUCACAGCAUUGCAUUGCUGAAGGGAGUGAAUAAUGAGCUCACCUCUCGACUCAAUAAAUCAUUUCUGCAGAAAUUUGCCAUUUCUUGUGUAUUACUCAUUUCCACAGCAACAUUGCGGGUCCAUUUCUGCAAAGCAGUGAUGCGGAUUUGCUUCCAGUGAAACGGAUUUGCUUCCAGUGAAAUGGAUUUGCUUCCAGUGAAACGGAUUUGCUUCCAGUGAAACACACGCAAUCACUUUAUUAAACCAUUCCUUAUCCAUUGACUCCAGAACUGUCCCACGAUGCUUUGAGAAAGAAAGCUUUCUGCCAGCUUUCUGUCUUCUGGUGUGAAAUAACUUCUGGCAUUGUUUGAUCCAUUACCUGUGUCUCAAACAACAAAAGCAAAAAAAAAAUCAAUUUCUCAUUUCUCAUUUUGAGAAAAACAUCUGGUUUCAAUAUCCUAAUGACAGUGGACUUUUUUUUUUUUCUUCAACCUGCUUCCGUCAGUGCAGUCAGAUGUUUUUUCUGAGCUAAUGUGAAACUGUUUAAGUCCCCUCCGCUCCAAAAUGCAUUGUUACUUCUACUGCUGCUUAUUGUUACCUCGCUUGGAUGCUUGACCCUCACAGUGCACAAUGAUGCAUGUGCAGCGUUCGACACUUCAAGAUGUUUUUUUAUUUGCUGAAGGGGGGGGAAAGUUUAUCUGCUCACCUUAAAUAUCAGUUUAAGCCAGAUCCCUCGUCCAUGGGCUUGAUUCUCAGUCAGGACUCAUUUGAAGGAGUUCAUCCAUUGAGUUUUGGAAAGAAAAAAACAAAAGUGCUGGCAUUUUACCUCACAAUCAACAACAACGCACAAUAUGCAACUUAUUUUACUUUGCAGAGAGCAAUUUUUUCAGUACUUUGUCAAGAUUUAGCAAUGGGACAACCACUGGGAUCAGCGUUAUCCGCCUGCCUGGUGGUCAGAUUUGGAAAGAGAUUGAGUUUGAGUAUGACACUACAGGAAGCUUGAAUGCCAUGGGGGGUUUUGUGGAAAAUUUCAGCAUCAUUAUUUUCUUUUACAGAUUACAGAUCUUUUACAAAAGAUAUUUUAAAGCAUUGCGUCCUAUGAUUUGGCUUCAUCCAUCAAACACCUGGUCACAGUUAAGAAACAAUCCAGAUUUGAUGUAAUGGAAGGAUGAAUCAGUUCAAGUACCAGUGAUGCUAUGAUGAGCCAUAUGAGACGAAUUCUGGGAGUGACAAACUUGUACAGAACUACGUAUCUUGACGGAGAUUGCUGCCAGUUUUAAUUGGAAACAAGAUUAGGAACCCAGCAGAUAAUGAUGUGUGGCAACUUGUCUUACAGCAUCGACAGAUGGUGGGGUUCAUUCGUGCACCUGCCAUUACUUUUAGAUAGAUUGCCUACGUAAAGUUAAUGAUGAAGGACUACUUGUAAUUCCUAAUCAUCCUCUGAGGCCAAAGCACUGUUACAUCACUCACUACAGCUAACAGUCCAGUUAUGGAGACUCAUUUGUCUGUGGACACUCACAUUUUAUAUUGACGGAUGGAAGUAUUCCCUCUCGUACUUUCUUGUGUUUUUUUAUUUUUACUGCGCAGUACAAGCUUUUCAGACAUCACACAUUCAAAGUGUUGCAAAGGAUUUGCAUAAUCUCUUAUAUGAAUAUACAUUAUCUCCACUGACGAUUUCUUUGCUUGGUAUUGUGUAAUGAUAAAUAAAAUUAAAAUCUAAA